AUGAUAAGUCAAGCAACCAGACAAUGCAUAAAAGGUGAAGAGAAAUGGAAGGAUUGCAACUUACCUACGAGAGCAAACUCCGACGGUUCUUUCGAGCGAUGGAGAACCAAGAGAACCUCGAAGACUUCAAAGAAACGCCAGGUAAUAACAAGCACCAUUAAUUCUUGUCUUCUCCUUUUUGCGCACGAUCUUCUUGUUCUACCUGAUCCUUCUACUUCAUCUUUUUUUUCUUCUACUCAAAAUUUGUGUGUUGUUUGUAUUCUGGAAUUUCCGUGUGCUUUUGUUUCUGAAUCUUCUUCUUUUCUCUUUUAG